rnacentral:rRNA from 1 species
CCUACGGGUGGCUGCAGUGAGGAAUAUUGGUCAAUGGACGAGAGUCUGAACCAGCCAAGUAGCGUGAAGGAUGACUGCCCUAUGGGUUGUAAACUUCUUUUAUAUGGGAAUAAAAUGUUCCACGUGUGGGAUUUUGUAUGUACCCUAUGACUAAGGAUCGGCUAACUCCGUGCCAGCAGCCGCGGUAAUACGGAGGAUCCGAGCGUUAUCCGGAUUUAUUGGGUUUAAAGGGAGCGUAGGUGGAUUGUUAAGUCAGUUGUGAAAGUUUGCGGCUCAACCGUAAAAUUGCAGUGGAAACUGGCAGUCUAGAGUACAGUAGAGGUGGGCGGAAUUCGUGGUGUAGCGGUGAACUGCUUAGAUAUUACGAAGAACUCCGAUUGCGAAGGCAGUUCACUGGACUGCAACUGACACUGAGGCUCGAAAGUGUGGGUAUCAAACAGGAUUAGAUACCCUAGUAGUC